UACAGGUGGUUAUGUUGUGGUACCUGAAAAGUUGCCAAACUAUGUAGUACCAGAUUUGACUGACUUCAAGGUAAUUUUUCUAAAUAUAUUUUCUUUCUUUUCAUUUCAAAUUCAUGCAUAAACAAUCUUAAUAAUAUAAUUCUUCAGUGUUUCGAUGAUUUACAGCUGCUGUUUAAAUUGAAGCAUAAAGUGAUUGUAUCACCCAUUAAAGGAAAUGACAUUUCUAUCACUAAAUUGUCUUAUUUUCAGUUCUCAUCCAGUCUUCCUUUGUUGGGGACGAUAAUCCUGUUGUUUCUUUAAAUAAAUUAGUGGGUAUGAUAAUGUCCUGGGUACUGGGGGUGGGGCUAUUAAAAUUUCUCUCUGAAAUCAGACAAGUAAACUAAAGGGAAACUGAUGGUAAAGGGCCUGAAUUUCAAACCUCUGUGAGGCUGAGGCAAUCUUAAAAUGAAUACUCCUCUUGGGUUUUAAAAAACCAAUAAAGCAAACUUUGGCUACUGCAUAUAUGUAUAGGAGGCAGUUCCUAGUUAAUAGAUAUAGAGAUUGCAUAAGCUGGGAUUCUACUUGGUGCUGCAAUAAGAUUUGUUUGUAGAAUCUGGUUUUGAUGGGAUACAACUGUGACAAAGUUAAUUGGAUCAGGAAUACUCAAAAAUAUCAGUUAUAUAUUACAAUGGGG
rnacentral:lncRNA from 1 species